rnacentral:lncRNA from 1 species
UUCCAGGUCUCCUUUUUGAGUUGCAUCCUGCUCUCUCUGUGUUCAGAACGGAGACGGCAUUCAUCAACUUUGGCCCAUCAGCCUUGAAAUCACCAACUUGUCAGUAACCUAUAUUACCACCCCAGCUCCUUUCCAUCUACCCAUUCAAGAAUCACCACCACCACUGAGCUCAAAAUGAAAGCUCUGAGAAAUACGUGACAGUUUAUCAGAA